GACAGAGGUGCCAAGCGUUAGGCGGAAUCACUGGGCUUAAAGCGUGUGUAGGCGGACCGUUAAGUACCUUGUGAAAUCCCCCGGCUCAACCGGGGAACGGCGUGGGUAUACGUGGCGGUCGUUGAGCCAUCCAGGGGCAGUCGGAACAGACGGUGGAGCGGUGAAUGCGUAGAUAUCGUCUGGAACGCCAGAAGGUGAAAACAGACGUGCUGGGGAUGACGCUGGACGCUG
rnacentral:rRNA from 1 species